rnacentral:lncRNA from 1 species
UGUAAUGAAAUGUAUCUGCCUCAUGUGGUUCUGCUGAAGGAGAUUAACUCACCAUUCAGCUGGGACUAAUUACAAGCUGCAGCAGCUGGAGAGAGAAAGAUCAGGAGGCCAGAUGGCUUGGAGAAGUGUAGGGGAUUUUCUUUCAAUAACAGGUUUUGAAGGACUUCCCCAGUUAUCUGGGAAAAAAUAUCAUAGGAUGUCAUAAAGAAAAACUCCUUGGAAGAAAGAUCUUGUGAACAAGAUUUGUCUGAAUGGUUCUCAGAGAAUUCUUACCAGAAAAUGACUCUGUCAAGUUCCUGGUAAUCUGUUUUGUUGAACUAUGGAAUCCUUUUACCAAAAUGAAGAGAGAUGACAACUAGUCUUGUCCGGUAUUCUCCAAGCUCCCAGAAAGUACUAUCAGGAUUAUUCAGGAAAAGUUGCUUCUGCAAGAGGCCAGGUGAGAAAGGUGUUUGGAUGUUCGUGAACCACGUCUACCAGUCCAUCCGGUUGGUAGUGUGAGGACUGUGGGCUGAGGACUGGAGAUGCUCAGGUUUUGUGCUUUGAGCUCCCACCUAAUGUGAAGUGUUGGCCAGCCUCCUGCAGCAUUGAUCCUUGGUGAAACAUUAGACACUUCAGAUAAAGAAGCCUUGUCCACUGAGUCAUCUGCUUAGAUUUAAGGAGUGCUUCACUUGAUGCCCACUGAAAUUGCAGCCUUUGCAUAAUAGCACAUACUUUUCAGAGGAUGAAGUAUUCAAUUAUUUUGGUCUUUUUACUUAAAUAUGGAAGUACAGUAGUACAAAAAUAAAUUGAAUGAGAAAAACUCUGGACUGGUGUGA